GUGAAGAGGGAUUAGCCCAGCACCGAAGCCUGCGGCAAUUUUGCUGUUAGGCAAUGUGGUGUUUGGGUCGACUAGCGGAACCGUAACUUCACUCGAAGUCCAGCAUUGAGUAUGGUUAUCAUUGAAUUUGGCCCAUAGAGGGUGAGAGGCCCGUACGAGUGAAGGUACAGACAUGUAAUACGGUUCACCAGGUCGGCCUUAGAGUCGGGUUGUUUGAGAUUGCAGCCCAAAGUGGGUGGUAAACUCCAUCCAAGGCUAAAUACAGGCACGAGUCCGAUAGCGAACAAGUACCGUGAGGGAAAGUUGAAAAGUACUCUGAAGAGAGAGUAAACAGUACGUGAAACUGCAUGCAGGUAAACGGGUGGCGUCAAACCGCGAGCCCAGAGGAUUCAGCUGAUUGGGUUAUUAAUUUAGUGGUUUACUCUCUAAUUGUGAGAGUAAAGUAAAGUUUGAGGUGUUUAUAUAUGUAUAUGUAUAUAUAUGUAUGCAUGUAUUCUUUUACCUCUUUCUGUGCUAUACGUGCCGGGUGUGUGCCGGAGUAUGCUACUAAAAUUGUAUAAUUGCCUAAUCAGUGCAAUUUCUCUGUGGUGAACAUCACGACCGAUGGAAUUGUCAGUCCACCGUAGUCAAGUUGUGCUUAUGUGACUAUUGAUAUUAAUCAAUGUUGUUAUGUAAGUGUGAUCGCAGGUAGAGUGAAUACACGGCGUAGUGUUACUUCGGUAUUGCUGCGUGUUAUCGUGUAUUUUCUAUCAACAAAUUAUUGUUUAGUGGUGUACUUUGACUAUACAAUAAUUUGGCGGAUUACGGUGGUAAAAAUGACUGUGCAAGGCAUCGGUAUUAUCCACCUCAUGCAUACAUAUAUAGACACACACGUUUGUGUGUGUGUGUAUGUGUGUGUAGAUAUGUAUCCGGCAGACUUUAACACCAAGUUAUUAUAGAGACACAUUGCCGUGUAUAUGCAUUAUACAUGAUUGACGUUUUGCCUACAAAAAAGUAGGUGCGUCAGUGGUAUAGUGUAGAUUAUUAAAAUACACGGUAUUUAUGUUAGUCUCUAGUGCAUGUGAUACAGUGGGUGUAAUAGUCAGUGAUGCUGUGGUAGACGAGCUACCCGACCCGUCUCGAAACACGGACCAAGGAGUUUAACAUGUGUGCGAGUCAAAGGGUUAUACGAAACCCCAAGGCGUAGUGAAAGUAAAAUUUGUACUAUUAUGUACAAUGUGGUGAGAUCUUACUAAUACUAAUACAAUUAAUAAUAGUAAUAGUAAGCGCAUCACCGGCCCGUCCCAUGAUGUGGUUAUUAGCAUUGAUAUGUAUAUAUAUGUAUGUAUAUAUUAUUAUCAGUUAGUACUUCAUCGGGGCGGAGCAUGAGCACACACGUUGAGACCCGAAAGAUGGUGAACUAUGCUUGCGUAGGUUGAAGCCAGAGGAAACUCUGGUGGAGGACCGUAGCGAUUCUGACGUGCAAAUCGAUCGUCAAACG
rnacentral:rRNA from 1 species